CCUACGGGUGGCUGCAGUGAGGAAUAUUGGUCAAUGGGCGGGAGUCUGAACCAGCCAAGUAGCGUGCGGGAUGACUGCCCUAUGGGUUGUAAACCUCUUUUGUACGGGAAUAAAAUUCCCCACUUGUGCAGUUUUGUAUGUACCGUACGAAUAAGGGUCGGCUAACUCCGUGCCAGCAGCCGCGGUAAUACGGAGGACCCGAGGGUUAUCCGGAUUUAUUGGGUUUAAAGGGAGCGUGGGCGGGCGUUAAAGUCAGCGGGAAAAUUUCGCGGUUAAACCGCAACCCGCAGUUGAAAAUGGACGGCUUGAGUGCAGCAGAGGCAGGCGGAAUUCGUGGUGUAGCGGUGAAAUGCAUAGAUAUCACGAGGAACCCCGAUUGCGAAGGCAGCUUGCCGGAGUGUGACUGACGCUGAGGCUCGAAGGUGUGGGUAUCAAACAGGAUUAGAUACCCGGGUAGUC
rnacentral:rRNA from 1 species